AAGGAACCCUGGAGCCGCCCUCCCCCCUCUUUCUCUCUCCCCCUACUCACUGCUCCCCCCCAGUAUAAAGAAGGGGGCGCUUCUAGAGGGGGAAGAAUGGGGGUCCCCUUUCUCUUUCUCAUCCCAGGUCCCCUUCUGCCUUUUCUCUGGCCCCCCCCAGGAAUGGGAAUGAGGGGGAAAGCGGCUUGGGGGGGUGUGUGGAGAGGACUAAGGAGCGAUGCUUCUGCUCACGGCCUCAGCCCCCAUCUACCUGAGUUUCAAUGGGCUCCGUCUGGAGCCUGUGUCUUUGCCCCUCCAGCCAUGCUAGGCAGUCUUUGUGGGUUUCCCUAUUCUUCUCUGGCUCCCUUUCCUUGUUCUCCUUUUUCCCCGUCCUUCUCCCUCCACUCCCCUCCACGCAAAGGGGAGGGGGUCUGGGAGAAACCGGGGCUUUCCCGUUUUCCCCCAGGGGAGAGGCACCUCCCAGUCUUCCCUCCUUCCCUCUCUCCUCCCCUCCCCUCCUGAGGUUGAGUCCGGGUCACUGAGUCAUGGGAGAGAAGGAGGGAGAGACCCAGAUCUCCCUUCCCCACUGCCUACUCCCCACUCCUAUGCCCCGGAAAGAUCCCCCCCAAAUAAGGGCUCCUUUCUGAGUCGCUGUCUCCCCAAUUCUUUCUCUGAAUACAGAAUCCAUAGGAUUGAUUGGCUCCCAUCCCUUCAACUCUAAAUCGGCUGUGUUCAUGUGGCCUUGGGCAAGUCAUUUCCCAGCCUCUUGUCUACGUUUUUGUCUGGUGCAAAAUGGAGGUGAUUGGACCAAGUCCCUUCCAACUCCAAGUCUGGGAGUCCUCUUUGUCCUAUGGGCUCUUUGUCUAGCCGGACUCUUCCACUGGAGUCAGGUCCUGAGGACCAGUCACUUAGUUCGGCUCACCAAACCAAGCCUGACACAUCUCCCAAAAGUCCUCCAGGAUUCCCUAGGUGGCCCAUCGCCACUGGAAGCUCUCCGAGGGGAGGGCUGGGCCUCCUGCCUCUUGUGCUGGCUCCCAGGCAGGCACCAAAUUCAGGGCCUCUCAGAGAUUGCCCAAGCAUCGACUUGAAUCAGUCCUAGGCCCUGAAUUCCACAGAAACGGGGGCCCAAGUCAAAGGGUGAAUCUGGGCCAACUUCCUGGAGGAGGAGCUAUUCCCUUCCCACCUCCCCCCCUUCCUUCCCCCUAGGCCCUCCCUGCCCUGGGGGGACUGGCUUAUCCUGGCACUGAACCCACCCUGCCCCACCCCAGGGCCUUUUGCCAACCCUUAAUCUUCUUGGAGCCAUGGACAGGAGGGAAUGUUGCAACAUACACCCUGGGGGGGGGGUCCACCCCCACCCUUCCUCCUCCAGAGGAUGAAAUUCCUUUUUUCUGGAAGCUUUUCUAGGCUUUCCUGGGGAACACUGAGGCCUGCCUAGCUAGACCAGCCUUAGGGCACCCAGGUGGGAAAGAGCUCAGGGACCCAGGACUGCCAGGAAGAAGUUGGGAGUCUGGGAGAGUUCCAGGGGGUGUUUGGGGGAGUAGCUUUGUGGGUGUGAAGAAGGCCCUUUCCUGACCCCAAAGGGGACCCUUGGGUGCUUCUGCUUCCUAGUCCUCUGGCCCAGAGAAAGGGAAGUCCCAAGGGCCCCGGGAAAGGCCCCUCCCUUCUCCCCUCUGCAGGUCCAGGAAGCAACAAGGCCAUCCUGUGUAAGUUUCCGACAAGUUUAGGGUCUGUGCUCUGAAGGGCUGCAGCCUGAAGUGGGAACUUCUCUGUGUGCUGUGUGUGGUGGGUGGGCAGAAACCUGCCCCCUCACCCAGCUCAGGGAGCCCCUGGGAUACAGAGAACCAGCUGCCAUCCACUCCUGCCUGUGUGGCUUUAGGGCAGGCGACAAGAGCCCAUCCAGACCUCUCUGCCUCAGUUUCCUUCCCUGUAAAUGGAGGUACUUAACGUGGAUGACUUCUGAGGUUUCUUCCAGCUGUGAGCACAGAACUCUUUUUUGGAUACAGUUUGGGGGUCCUUGAAUCUUUGGUCAAUUCCCAGGAAAUGGGCGUCUCCCCAGGGAGACCACAAAGAGCCCCGGCCCUGGCCACCACGGGAUUAAAAAUAAAAGAGAGAAAAGUC